CUCAUCUCGAUGUUCCUCUUUGACGAUGAGUUUCCGAAGGCAGUGGUGGAAGCAUAGAGCUAAUGAACUGCUGUGAGCUAAAUGGUGAUGUGGGAAUCUGGACACAUGAGCUUUGCUCCUGCGCUGCCAACUGUUUGCAGAACAGGUCACCUCUUUGGUCUUUCUAUUUCCGCCAAGUGGUCAGGAAAAGAGCAAAGCUGCCUUUCUUGGGCAGAAGAGAAGCAAUUGCAGAGUUAUCUGGAGCAGUGCCAGAAGGUAGCCUUGCAGAUGGACCUCACACUAAACAUGUAUAUAUAUAUAUAUACAGUUACAUACGUUCUCACAUUAAAAAAACCACAACAAAUUAGUCCCAAAGUUUCAGGCUAUUCACUUCUAUGCAGUAGUUCUCAGA